AUAUAAUUUAAUGAUAUACACUCCAUCUUAUUGUUAGUUUUUUUU
rnacentral:sRNA from 1 species